ensembl:misc_RNA 7SK 7SK RNA
GGAUGUGAAGGUGAUCUGGUUGUGAUGUCUGUCAUCCCAGUGAUUGCUAGGGUGGAUUUGGCUGAUCUGCCCCUUCCUCCCUCACCACUCCACAUGUGUCCCCCCCCUCCCAUAGCCGAGUGCUGUCACAGAGGAUGACCAUCCCCAAUGGAGGAGAACCAUUCUUUGGGCUAGGGUACAGAGUAGCUGCGCUGCCCUGAGAGAACCUCCAAACAAAUUCUCAAGGUCUAAAAUGCACAUUUGACCCCUUCCUUCCAAGCAUACAGAUCCUUGUGGUAGCUCCCCUGCACCAACAG